UGGGGAAUUUUGCACAAUGGGGGAAACCCUGAUGCAGCGACGCCGCGUGAUUUAGAAGGCCUUCGGGUUGUAAAAAUCUUUUCUAUGGGAAGAAAAUGACAGUACCAUAGGAAUAAGGACCGGCUAAUUACGUGCCAGCAGCCGCGGUAAUACGUAAGGUCCGAGCGUUGUCCGGAAUCAUUGGGCGUAAAGGGUACGUAGGCGGGUAAACAAGUUAGAAGUGAAAUCCUAUAGCUCAACUAUAGUAAGCUUUUAAAACUGCUCAUCUUGAGGUAUGGAAGGGAAAGUGGAAUUCCUAGUGUAGCGGUGAAAUGCGCAGAUAUUAGGAGGAAUACCGGUGGCGAAGGCGACUUUCUGGCCAUAACCUGACGCUGAGGUACGAAAGCGUGGGUAGCAAACAGG
rnacentral:rRNA from 1 species